GCGACAGCCAUGAAGACCCCAGCCAGGGCCACCUCAGAGCCGGCCAGGUAGAAGAUGAUCUCAUAGUUCUUCAACACAUCCACCAGGCGGCCUGGGGAGGAGGAGGAAGAGGAGGGAGAGAUGUAAAACCUCAUGUGGAUUCUGCCAUUUGAAACCUUAAAAAUGUCACUUGCUGUCCCUGGACCUCAAUUGCUUAAGUGAUAUGUGGCUUCUGGUGAGGCGUCCCCUCCACCCUCUGAUUCAAGCCCCACAAGUGUCCUGUGACUUGCUUGGCAGUGGGGUAUCUGGGGUGGGAGCGGGGAGGGGGCCCUGGGCUUAGCUCUGCCCUCCUGGGGGCCUCCACCUCUUGCUGUUGCCAUGUAAAUGCCCUGGUCCUCAGGGGCUUGGCUUAGUCCUCCCACCCCUCUGUCCCAGGAGGCCCAUGAGCAUCCCAGACCAAGCCAUCAUCGGCACAGGUGGGGCUUGUGGGCCAGUAACUCAUUUCCUUCUCUAUUUCUCAAGGCUUCUAUCCCUUGUAGAUACUACUUUCAAACUCAGGAAAGUCUCUCUUUUAUUAUGUUUUUUUUAGGGAUGGGGUCUUGCUGUGUUGCCCAGGCUGGUCCUGAACUCCUGAGCUCAAGGGAUCCUCCCGACUUGGCCUCUCAAAGUGCUGGGAUUACAGGUGUGAACCACUGCACCUGGCUUCAGGAAUUUUCUUAUUCUUUUGAGACAGGGUCUCACUCCAUUGGCCCAGGCUGGAAUGUAGUGGUGCCAUCUUGGCUCACUGCAACCUCCACCUCCUGGGCUCAAGCCAUCCUCCCACUUCAGCCUCCUGAGUAGCUGGAACCAGAGGUGCACGCCACCACACCUAGCUAAUUUUGUUUUGUUUUGUUUUGGUAGAGACAGGGUUUUGCCAUGUUGCCCCGGCUGGUUUCAGACUUCUGGCCUCAGCCCCCCAAAGCGCUGGGAUUACAUGCAUGAGCCACUACACCCGACCAGGAAAAUCUCUUAAUUAUCCAUCCAGAUUCACACAAGAAAUGGAAGACGGUUCCUUGAGGCCUGGGCAGGCUGGUUUUGUGGCCUGCCCACACACUGGCUCAGGGACUUUGCCGUUCUCACUGGGUCAGGUGGGAUGACAGAGCUCAGUGAGGGCACUCGAUUAGCCCAGCCCUGAAGGAAGGACGAGCAGCUCACCCCAUCUCAGUGCAGCCUGCGGCCCCCGCAAGGUGUCCUCCCUGGUUACUGCACCAUCUCACAGCCCUCUAGCCUCUGGGACUCAAAGGCAGGCUCCCUUGCUGUUUCAAGAUAACUUGACAACCCAGGAAAACCCUCAUGUCCCCCACUCCCACCUUUCCAAUUUUGGUUCCUGCCUUGCUUGCAUAAGGACGCUGUUCCCCCCCAACAAGCCCUGCCCAUCCAUGCUGUGCCUUCACCUGGGGGAUAUUCCAGGAAGCCUUCCCUGACCACCCUCAUGACGAUGACUUCCUAAGGGUGACGGUGACAAGUGCCAGCAGGCCAUCUGCACAGUGAAAGACACCAGUGCUUCUCCCCAUCUGCCCGCUGAGCACCCCCACUCUGUUUCUGGCCCCAACACCAGUUUCCCAAAGAUACUGUCCCCAUUCCAGUCACCAUUCUAGAUGCACCAUUCUAAAGGCGUGGGCAUUUAGCAGCAGGUACACUGAGGCUCUCAUUCUGGGGCUGCAACUUGCGCUAAGGCUUUGUGCCUCAGUUUCCUCAUCUGCAAAAUGAGAAUAAGCACCUGCGCUCCAGAUGGCCUUGUGCCAACUGCUUGGGAUGGCAGAUCUGGCCAGCUACCAGUGUUGCUUUCUUCCCUGCACCUUCCUGGGCUUUUCUGUCCUCACCCAGAGCGGGCGGUCCGGCUUGGAGGAGGGACUAACUGGCCGUGAAGGGGAGUCCACCCACCCGACUGCCCCUUCCCCUCAUCCCUGGAAGUUCCAUCUGAGACAGGGGGAUGGAGCUUCCCUGGGUCUAAGGGGCACUAGGCUCGCCACCCCCUCUUCCUUCGGGGCGCACCGGCAGAGGGCGGUCCGAUGAGCACAGCCGCGGCCUCCACGAGCAACACCAGGCCCAGCGCACUGGGGAAGCGGGGCGCGCCCACAGCCGCC
rnacentral:lncRNA from 1 species